rnacentral:rRNA from 1 species
CGUAGGACACAAGCGUUAUCCGGAAUUACUGGGCGUAAAGGGAGUGCAGGCGGUUGCGUAAGUUAGGCGUGAAAGACUUCGGCUAAACCGGGGGAGUCGUCUGAUACUGCGUAACUAGAGUAUGGUAGAGGCGUGUAGAAUUCCGGGUGUAGUGGUGAAAUGCGUAGAGAUCCGGAGGAAUACCAGUGGCGAAGGCGGCACGCUGGGCCAUUACUGACGCUAAGACUCGAAAGCAUGGGUAGCGAACGGGAUUAGAAACCCCGGUAGUCCAUGCCGUAAACGAUGUACACUGGGUGUUCAGUCGGGGAAGCCUGACGGGGUGCCCAAGCCAACGCGCUAAGUGUACCGCCUGGGGAGUACGGUCGCAAGGCUA